CCAACAAUGGAUGCCUAGGCUUGUUUUGCCGAAGAAGGACGCAUAUGGCGGCGAUACUCGUCGGGGAGGAGCCAUACUCCUGUGAUCCGGCGGUUUCCGAAUGGGGAAACCCUCCCGAUUUUAUCGGGAAACUUGUUGUAAAAGUGCUUCGCACAAGGGGUUCGAAGUUUAAAGAUCGAAGCUCGAAGUGCAUAAGGAUAUUUAUAAAAUAAUUCCUUGUAAACUAUGAACUUUGAACUAAUAACUUCUAACUUCUCGUGCGGAGCAUUAUAGCGACAAGUAGGUAAGUGGGUGAACUGAAACAUCUAAGUAACCCGAGGAAAAUAAAUCAUUUGAGAUUCCGUCAGUAGCGGCGAGCGAAAGCGGAAAAGUCUAAACCACGGCGCAAGUCGUGGGGUUGUAGAAAGCCCGUGGGAAGCUAGGGAGGCCACUCUCUAAGACUAAAUACAAAACAAGACCGAUAGUGAACGAGUACCGUGAGGGAAAGGUGAAAAGCACCCCGGAAGGGGAAUGAAAUAGUACCUGAAAUUGUUGGCUAACAAACA
rnacentral:rRNA from 1 species